CACUCUAGAGAGACUGCCAGGGAUAACCUGGAGGAAGGUGGGGAUGACGUCAAAUCAUCAUGCCCCUUAUGCUUAGGGCUACACACGUGCUACAAUGGGUAGUACAGAGGGUUGCCAAGCCGUAAGGCGGAGCUAAUCCCUUAAAGCUACUCUCAGUUCGGAUUGUAGGCUGAAACUCGCCUACAUGAAGCUGGAGUUACUAGUAAUCGCAGAUCAGAAUGCUGCGGUGAAUGCGUUCCCGGGUCUUGUACACACCGCCCGUCACACCACGGGAGUUGGAGACGCCCGAAGCCGAUUAUCUAACCUUUUGGAAGAAGUCGUCGAAGGUGGAAUCAAUAACUGGGGUGAAGUCGUAACAAGGUAGCCGUAUCGG
rnacentral:rRNA from 1 species